rnacentral:rRNA from 1 species
GACGAACGCUGGCGGCGUGCUUAACACAUGCAAGUCGAACGGAAAGGCCCUUCGGGGUACUCGAGUGGCGAACGGGUGAGUAACACGUGGGUGAUCUGCCCUGCACUUUGGGAUAAGCCUGGGAAACUGGGUCUAAUACCGAAUAGGACCACGCGCUUCAUGGUGUGUGGUGGAAAGCUUUUGCGGUGUGGGAUGGGCCCGCGGCCUAUCAGCUUGUUGGUGGGGUAAUGGCCUACCAAGGCGACGACGGGUAGCCGGCCUGAGAGGGUGACCGGCCACACUGGGACUGAGAUACGGCCGAGACUCCGACGGGAGGCAGCAGUGGGGAAUAUUGCACAAUGGGCGCAAGCCUGAUGCAGCGACGCCGCGUGAGGGAUGACGGCCUUCGGGUUGUAAACCUCUUUCACCAGGGACGAAGCGUAAGUGACGGUACCUGGAGAAGAAGCACCGGCCAACUACGUG